UGGGGAAUAUUGCACAAUGGGCGAAAGCCUGAUGCAGCGACGCCGCGUGAGGGAUGACGGCCUUCGGGUUGUAAACCUCUUUCAGCAGGGACGAAGCGCAAGUGACGGUACCUGCAGAAGAAGCACCGGCUAACUACGUGCCAGCAGCCGCGGGAAUACGUAGGGUGCAAGCGUUGUCCGGAAUUACUGGGCGUAAAGAGUUCGUAGGCGGUUUGUCGCGUCGUUUGUGAAAACCAGCAGCUCAACUGCUGGCUUGCAGGCGAUACGGGCAGACUUGAGUACUGCAGGGGAGACUGGAAUUCCUGGUGUAGCGGUGAAAUGCGCAGAUAUCAGGAGGAACACCGGUGGCGAAGGCGGGUCUCUGGGCAGUAACUGACGCUGAGGAACGAAAGCGUGGGUAGCGAACAGG
rnacentral:rRNA from 1 species